UAAAUCUUCCAUAUCAUCCUGCAAUCACAAUUGGCAACCCACUGAAGCUCAGUAGGUAUGAGCCUGGUCAGUACCUGGAUGGGAGACCUCCUGGGAAAAACUAAGGUUGCUGCUGGAG
rnacentral:rRNA from 1 species